UCCUCAAUGGUCUAGUGGCUAUGAUUUCCGCUUGUCACGCCCAUGAAGGGUUCGAUUCCCUGUUGGGGAG
rnacentral:tRNA from 1 species